GACGAACGCUGGCGGCGUGCUUAACACAUGCAAGUCGAACGGGAAGGCCCUGCGUUUGUGGGGUGCUCGAGUGGCGAACGGGUGAGUAACACGUGAGUAACCUGACCUUGACUUUGGGAUAACUUCAGGAAACUGGGGCUAAUACAGGAUAGGAGCUCCUGCAGCAGGGAGGGGGGGGGAAAGUUUCGGCGGGUGGGGAUGGACUCGCGGCUUAUCAGCUUGUUGGUGGGGUAGUGGCUGACCAAGGCUUUGACGGGUAGCCGGCCUGAGAGGGUGACCGGCCACAUUGGGACUGAGAUACGGCCCAGACUCCUACGUGAGGCAGCAGUGGGGAAUAUUGCACAAUGGGCGGAAGCCUGAUGCAGCAACGCCGCGUUCGUGAUGACGGCCUUCUGGUUGUAAACCGCUUUCGCCUGUGACGAAGCGUGAGUGACGGUAAUGGGUAAAGAAGCACCGGCUAACUACGUG
rnacentral:rRNA from 1 species